rnacentral:rRNA from 1 species
UUCCUACGGGGGGCAGCAGUGGGGAAUCUUGGACAAUGGGCGCAAGCCUGAUCCAGCAAUGCCGCGUGGGUGAAGAAGGCCUUCGGGUUGUAAAGCCCUUUCGGCGGGGAAGAAAUCGGUCAGGCGAAUAGUCUGGCUGGAUGACGGUACCCGCAGAAGAAGCACCGGCUAACUACGUGCCAGCAGCCGCGGUAAUACGUAGGGUGCGAGCGUUAAUCGGAAUUACUGGGCGUAAAGGGUGCGCAGGCGGCCCUGUAAGACCGGUGUGAAAUCCCCGGGCUCAACCUGGGAAUUGCGCUGGUGACUGCAGGGCUAGAGUACGGUAGAGGGGGGUGGAAUUCCUGGUGUAGCAGUGAAAUGCGUAGAGAUCAGGAGGAACACCGAUGGCGAAGGCAGCCCCCUGGGCCUGUACUGACGCUCAUGCACGAAAGCGUGGGGAGCAAACAGGAUUAGAUACCCGAGUAGUC